UGAAAAUCAAGAAAACAGAAAAUAAACAAUAAAAAUAUUCUAUAAAUCAUGUGUGCAGCAAGCUUAGUUCCAUUGUCAACAUAAAUAGCUAGUUUGGGAAAAAUUUGGUGACCAUUAGGUAAAGUAAUCUGUCCAUUAAACACGAAGGAUUAGAUUUUCUAAAAAUAUAUUGAGCUUCUCAAGAAAAUUCUGUAGAGAAAAAUUUAUGUUUCAAAACAGUGUUGGAUCUGAAGCAAAUUGGAAUUUACGCGAGUGUAAAAUUUCUUUUAAAUGUAUGUAAGCGUAUAUUUACAUUGUAAAUCUACCAAAAAUAAAUAUAAAUAAACAAAAAAUUA